AUACGGAGGGUCCGAACGUUAAUCGGAAUUACUGGGCGUAAAGCGCGCGUAGGCGGUUUGGUAAGUGGGAUGUGAAAGCCCCGGGCUCAACCUGGGAAUUGCAUUCCAAACUGCCGGACUAGAGUAUGGUAGAGGGAGGUAGAAUUUCCUGUGUAGCGGUGAAAUGCGUAGAUAUAGGAAGGAAUACCGGUGGCGAAGGCGGCCUCCUGGACCAAUACUGACGCUGAGGUGCGAAAGCGUGGGGAGCAAACAGGAGUAGAAACCCCAGUAGUCC
rnacentral:rRNA from 1 species